rnacentral:lncRNA from 1 species
AUGAGGGAUUUGAAAAAUCCUUUUCUGCAAAUAUGGUUAGUUGAAGUGGCUACUGUGGUAUUGGCAUUGGUAUUGUAGAAAUUGGCAUAAUAUGGUCCUCUUUGUUUAUUGGAUCGAUUCUUUACUUCGAGUGGCUUGGUUGCAGUUUAUAAUUGUUAUCCUCUUUUAAAUGUAUAGUUUUGGUGUUUAAUUAAUUGUAAUUAAAUGUAUGCUUGGUUAAUGUAUUUGACAAUAUAUGUUAAAGUGUUAGCACUUGGAAGCAAUGAAAGAAAGAGUGAGUUAGUUGUUUAUUUAAAGUGUUGUUUUUGUAGCAUUGCAGAUUAUAGCAUAGAGAGAGCUUGAACAACAACUUCAAUUUCAGCUAUUACUUUGGAAGGAAGCAGUGAAUCAGCAACAUCAUCCACAAAGACUAUGAACAAGGAAAAAAUGGAGUGAAAUAUCAUGUCACUUUUUGUGUAAAUAGAAAUGGAGGCAACAACUUUUUGGACAACCUCCACAGCUAAUCAUCACUAGGCUAACAAGCUCUCAGUAACUGAUGUCACUUUUGAUAUAGUCACUAGGUUAGCCUAUAAGUAGAUCACUGUAUUUUGGGGAAGCUGUUUUGACAGCAUUUGUAAUAUAUAUUUCAACAUUACCAGAACACCUAUGUUAAUGGUAAUGUUAGCUCCUGAUAUGAAGCAUUAGUCAAUGUAUUUUGGAGUAGCUGUUUUAACAGUAAUUGUUUUAUAUAUAUGAACUAAAUUCUCUG